rnacentral:rRNA from 1 species
UAAUACGGAAGGGGCAAGCGUUGUUCGGAAUCAUUGGGCGUAAAGGGCGCGUAGGUGGUUCUGUAUGUCUACCGUGAAAGCAUACAGCUCAACUGUAUUUUGUCGGUAGAAACUGCAGGACUUGAGGCUGGGAGGGGCUGGUGGAAUUCCCUGUGUAGCGGUGAAAUGCGUAGAGAUGGGGGAGAACACUCGUGGCGAAGGCGGCCAGCUAGACCAGUUCUGACACUGAGGCGCGACAGCGUGGGGAGCAAACAGGAUUAGAUACCCUGGUAGUCCACGCUGUAAACGAUGGGCACUAGGUGCCGGCGGUCUUGAUCCCGUCGGUGCCGGCGCUAACGCAGUAAGUGCCCCGCCUGGGGAGUACGGUCGCAAGGCUG